GGCUCAGAACGAACGCUGGCGGCAGGCUUAACACAUGCAAGUCGAGCGCUCGUAGCAAUACGAGAGCGGCAGACGGGAGAGUAACACGUGGGAACGUACCCUUCGGUUCGGAAUAACCCAGGGAAACUUGGGCUAAUACCGGAUACGUCCGUAAGGAGAAAGAUUUAUCGCCGAAGGAUCGGCCCGCGUCCGAUUAGCUAGUUGGUGAAGUAAUGGCUCACCAAGGCGACGAUCGGUAGCUGGUCUGAGAGGAUGAUCAGCCACACUGGGACUGAGACACGGACCAGACUCCUACGGGUUUCAGCAGUGGGG
rnacentral:rRNA from 2 species